AACGAACGCUGGCGGCAGGCCUAACACAUGCAAGUCGAGCGAGGACUUCGGUCCUAGCGGCGGACGGGUGAGUAACGCGUGGGAACGUGCCCUUUGCUUCGGAAUAGCCCUGGGAAACUGGGAGUAAUACCGGAUGAGCCCUUUGGGAGAAAGAUUUAUCGGCGAAGGAUCGGCCCGCGUUGGAUUAGGUAGUUGGUGGGGUAAUGGCCUACCAAGCCGACGAUCCAUAGCUGGUUUGAGAGGAUGAUCAGCCACACUGGGACUGAGACACGGCCCAGACUCCUACGGGAGGCAGCAGUGGGGAAUCUUAGACAAUGGGGGAAACCCUGAUCUAGCCAUGCCGCGUGAGCGAUGAAGGCCUUAGGGUUGUAAAGCUCUUUCAGCUGGGAAGAUAAUGACGGUACCAGCAGAAGAAGCCCCGGCUAACUCCGUG
rnacentral:rRNA from 1 species